CUCCGUGGAGCAAUGUUACCGCGUCUGACUCCAGAUCAGAAGGUUGCGUGUUCAAAUCACGUCGGGG
rnacentral:tRNA from 1 species